GCAUCGGUGGUUCAGUGGUAGAAUGCUCGCCUGCCACGCGGGCGGCCAGGGCUCGAUUCCCGGCCGAUGCA